UACGGGAGGCAGCAGGGGGAAGUAUUGCACAAUGGGCGGCAAGCCUGAUGCAGCCAUGCCGCGUGUAUGAAGAAGGCCUUCGGGUUGUAAAGUACUUUCAGUCGUGAGGAAGGUGUUAAGGUUAAUAACCUUAGCAAUUGACGUUAGCGACAGAAGAAGCACCGGCUAACUCCGUGCCAGCAGCCGCGGUAAUACGGAGGGUGCGAGCGUUAAUCGGAAUUACUGGGCGUAAAGGGCACGCAGGCGGUUAAUUAAGUUGGAUGUGAAAUCCCCGGGCUUAACCUGGGAAUGGCAUUCAAGACUGGUUAGCUAGAGUCUUGUAGAGGGGGGUUAGAAUUCCAUGUGUAGCGGUGAAAUGCGUAGAGAUGUGGAGGAAUACCGGUGGCGAAGGCGGCCCCCUGGGACAAAGCUGGACGCUCAUGUGCGAAAGCGUGGGGAGCAAACAGGGAUUAGAU
rnacentral:rRNA from 1 species